rnacentral:rRNA from 1 species
AUUGAACGCUGGCGGCAGGCCUAACACAUGCAAGUCGAGCGAGCGGCGGACGGGUGAGUAAUGUAUGGGGACUGCCCGAUAGAGGGGGAUAACUACUGGAAACGGUGUCUAAUACCGCAUACUAUCGGAUAACCCAUAUGGGAUUAGCUAGUAGAUGGGGUAAAGGCUCACCUAGGCGACGAUCUCUAGCUGGUCUGAGAGAAUGAUCAGCCACACUGGAACGGAAACACGGCCAAAACUCCAACGGAGGCAGCAGGGGGGAAUAUUGCACAAUGGGCGCAAUCCUGAUGCAGCAAUGCCGCGUGUAUGAAGAAGGCCUUAGGGUUGUAAAGUACUUUCAGCGGGGAGGCGUUACCCGAAGAAGAAGCACCGGCUAACUCCGUGCCAGCAGCCGCGGUAAUAC